GGGGCCGGGAGGAGCGGGGUGUGCGCUGCCAGGGUCGGGCCGCGGUGCGGGGCGUGGAGGGAUGUCGGGGGAGGAGCUGGCGGUGCUGCGCCACGCAGAGGCGAUGCGUGCGGUGCCAGCGAGUGCGUGGAGCUGAACGAAGAUUGUCGAGGAGCAGAGCGUGAGUGGCUGUGAAAUGCAAUUGGGAAAAUGCUUUCAUGGGAACAGUCUGGAGCUGUGUCUGGAGCUUCUGCGUGGCCAUUGUAAGAUCAGCUUUCUGCACUCUUUAUUUCCGUGGCUGGCGUUGUAGAGCGCAGCAGCAGCAAGGCCGUGAACACGUCCACAACCAGGACUCGGAGGGUUUUGAGUCUAAGACCGGAGACGGUGAGAGCACCC